CCAAGAUGCACUGAUGUCUAUGAACACCAGCUUUUUCAUAAGCUCCACAGCCACCAUCUGACCUCAUGAAGGGGACUGCAUAAGAACACAACGAAGAGGCAAUGACCACACCCACGUGGGCCUGGGCUUUCACUCAGGAGUUCGGAUCUCAUGGAAAAACACCGUGGAAGAUGCCCUGGGGCAGCACCACUACCCGGAUCCACAUCCACUCAAUCGCCCUAGUAGGGCCUCCAGAGCACUCCUGCAAGCGUCACGUGGUUUCACAGAUCCCAGGCAGAGGCAGGGCAAGUGUUACUACCACCACCAGUGAGGAAAUGAAAGCCCAGAGAAGCUGUGAGACUUGAUGAAGGUCACCAACUGGCUAAAUGAUGAUAGGUGCUCUAAUGAGAAGUUUUAUUACCUCACUAUAUUGUUUUACUCAAAAAUAUUUCCUGUCUGACAGCUGCUUCCCGGAUUUACUGCUUAAAGUGAGUAAUUCCACUCUUCUUAGACAUGGAAUUUUACAUAUAGCACCAGAGCAGAGCUAAGGAUUCCUUUACUAAUUUUCCUUACUCAUUUAUUAUAUUAUAUAAAAUAUACACGAGACUUGAACAGGGAAUGAGGAAGCCCAGAAGAGCAGAAACUAAACCAGUCCAGUGGAAGUGUCACAUAUAUUGUUGCAUAGCCUGCAUUCCAGAGUAGCAAGAUGAGGCUCUGAGCUUCCUAGCGGUCAUGGCAAAGAUGAGAUGCAAAGCCAGAUUCAAAGCUCCCAUGUCUCAAGAUAAAAGAAGACAGAUCCAGAGAACCAGUGCCCUGCAGCCCUCAUGCUGGAGACAUGGUGUGCAAUAGUGAAUUACGUCCCCAACAACGUGCCAAAAAACAAAAAUACAAAGAUGGUUUUCCAACAGUUGCUUCUCCCCUCAAUAAAACCUACAUCACACCAAGACUCCACUCAGUAGAAGUCAU
rnacentral:lncRNA from 10 species